GGAAGGCAUUUUGCGCUUCAAGGUGGCAUCCACCAUGCUGUCUGAGGUACCAUGAGGAAAUAAUUCAAAUGGAGUUGCGCCAGCAUGAAGUUUAGAAACCCCCGACCUAUGGAUAACCUAAGGCACAUGGAGCACCUGGGACCUUAAGGAAAAAACUCACCUAAUAUCAGACUUGAGAUGAAAUCAGGAGAGCUGGCAACGUUUAAUAAAUGUCGGGUUUAAAUUAAAGAAUUGCACUAAGAGCCUUUGUUACUGGAGGA